ACACUCCUGCGGGAGGCAGCAGUGAGGAAUAUUGGACAAUGGGUGGAAGCCUGAUCCAGCCAUCCCGCGUGCAGGAAGACGGCCCUAUGGGUUGUAAACUGCUUUUAUCUGGGGAUAAACCUACUUACGUGUAAGUAGCUGAAGGUACCAGAAGAAUAAGCACCGGCUAACUCCGUGCCAGCAGCCGCGGUAAUACGGAGGGUGCAAGCGUUAUCCGGAUUUAUUGGGUUUAAAGGGUCCGUAGGCGGACUGAUAAGUCAGUGGUGAAAUCCGACAGCUUAACUGUAGAACUGCCAUUGAUACUGUUAGUCUUGAGUAAGGUUGAAGUGGCUGGAAUAAGUAGUGUAGCGGUGAAAUGCAUAGAUAUUACUUAGAACACCAAUUGCGAAGGCAGGUCACUAAGUCUUAACUGACGCUGAUGGACGAAAGCGUGGGGAGCGAACAGGAUUAGAAACCCUAGUAGUCCCAUGA
rnacentral:rRNA from 1 species